UCCAGUAUUCUGCCUAUUUUUACGGAGUGGUAGACCAACAUUUUCCCGAUGCGCAUGCGCGACGGGAAGUGCCGUAAAAAUAGCCUCCCUGCGCACAUUGGAUUACGGAUCCGUAAAACUAGCCACUUUGUUUUAUUGAAACACUACAAAAUCGUAUUAUUCUGCAGCAAGAAAGUGACUUAAAGAUAAGCAUGGAGAUAGGCACUGAAAUUAGCCAUAAAAUUAGGUCUGCAAUAAAGGCAAAGUUAGUAGAACUUGGAGCCUAUGUGGAUGAAGAAUUACCAGAUUAUAUCAUGGUGAUGGUGGCCAAUAAAAAAUCCCCCAAACAAAUGACAGAUGAUUUGGAACUAUUUCUUGGUUCAAAAACGGAAGUCUUUACAACAUGGCUACAUGAAUUACUAAAGAAACUGCAAUCUAUAGGUGGAGAUCCAAAAACAGAUAUAAAACCUGAAGGCCAGCAAAUGGACUCAUCUUCUAGUCAUAAAAGGAGUAAACAUGAAGGAAAAGACAAGAAGACCAAGGAAAAGAAAGGAAAGUGUGAGAAAUCUACAGAUCAUGGAAUUGUUAUUAAUGUUAAAAAUGAACCUGGAGAAAUAUCUGAUAGUGAAGACAUCUUGACCAUAGAAGAAAAAGAUGAUGUUACUGUAGAGGUAGAUGAUACUCCUAUUCGACAAACAGCUGAUGAAUCAGUAGUACAAACAUAUGAUGUACCAGUACUACAGAUAUCUCAAACAGCAGAUGAAUCAUUGAAGAAGACACUGGAACCAAUAGAAAUAACACCUGAACAUGUGGUAGAUGAUGUAGAACCUGAAUUAUUAGUUAGAGCUGACACAGAUGAAUUUACAGAAGAAUUGCAUAUAGAAGAAGAAAAAAAUGCAGUCGUGAAAGCUGAAAUUCAGUCUACUUCAUCUUCUUCUAAAUCUUGUUUAUCUCGAACUAAAUGUGAAUCAAGUAGAACAGCUAAGAUAAAGAAGACAACAUUAAUAUCUACACGAGAAAUUAUAGAUUCUAAAUGUGAGAAGAGAUCAUAUAUAACAUCAAGACUAGGUGUAAAACUGGACACUAGACCACAAGCUGUAGCUUCUCCUAUUAAACAACCUACUUCUGGACAAAUAGCUAUCAGUAGUAAAAGACAAGGACCAACAUCAGUAGUGGGAAAUGUUAUAGAUAAUAAUGAUGAUGAGGAAGAAUAUGAUCCAUUGAAUCCAGCUGUUGGUAGUGUAGCUAGUGUAGUUAAAGUGACAUCCAGAAAGUCAAGUGUACCUAGAUUGUUACAAGCAAAUAAAUCUUUAUUAUUGAGAGCUGUAACAGAAGCAGAGAAAUCAAUAACAGUGAAAAGAGCUGUUAGUAAACCAUUUAAAGCUGCUACUAGUCAAAUGGUAGUACGACCAUUAAGAAGGGAUGAACCUGUGGUCAAACAACCAAAACUACAAUUAACAACUAAAUCACGCCAACAAGAUAUAUAUCGUAGUAUGAAAUAUACUAUAGAUAAUGAAAAUGAUCAACCUAAAUACGUAAUUAGAAAAGAAGAAGUAUUUCAGCCCGGGUUUAUAACUAAACCAAUAGAUAAUCGUGUUGUAGAAUAUAUACCACAAACAAUUACUAUAAAAGAAGAAGCAGUCGAUUCUAGUGAAGAUGAUGUUAUAGAAGUUAUACCACUAGCAGAGCCACCACAAGCACCUAUAUUGUUAGAAGAUAUAGAUGAAGAAUUUGAAGCUGAAGUACCACCAACAAGCCUUAAUCAAGACAAGCGAACAUUUAAUCCUAAAUUUGUUGUGACAUUGGAUGGUGUUGAUCCUGAUGCAUUUACUGGCGAUACAAGAAAUGAGUCUGAUAUAGCUAUGAGUAAUAUAGUACAAUCUGAAAUUACUGCAAAUAAAGUUAACCCACCUAAAGUUAAACCGUUUAAUAUUAAUCUUAAAGACUCAGAUGAUGAAGGUGAUGGAGAUUGUGAUGUAGAAAUGACACCAUUAAAACAAGCUAAAGCAGCAGAAAGAUGCAAAUUUUGGCCAGCAUGUGUCAAUGGCAAUUCUUGUCAAUAUCAUCACCCUACUUUACCUUGCAAAACAUUUCCACAUUGUAAAUUUGCUGACAAAUGUUUGUAUAUACAUCCAAAUUGUAAAUAUGAUGCCAAGUGUUCACGGCUAGACUGUCCUUAUACACAUGCGACCAGGCGUUCUACAGGUCCACCUGUUGUACCACAAGUUGUAGCAAUACCUCAUCAUCAAGUUCUAGUAGCAGCACCUUCUACCUUCCCACCAGAGUCUUCUACUACCAAACAAUGUAUAUAUUAUCCUAAUUGUUCUAAUAUGACCUGUUCAUUUUAUCAUCCAACUCCUUGCAGAUUUGGAUUGGCCUGUAGAAAUAAAUUUUGUACAUAUUAUCAUCCCAGUCUUCCUACUAAGGAUAAAUUAAAAUGGUCAUCCCAAAAGAGAAUCAGCACUACAGCAGAAGUAAAACAGUAGAGAGUUCCAAUCUAAAUAACAGUUGACUAAGAGGCUAAGAAGUAGGAAAGAGAUGUGUUUGGAUGAAGUUUGAAAAUAGUGUGAUGGUCAUUUUUGAGCAGAAUUUCUUGAAGAUAUUUGUCAAUAAAGAUUUGGGUUGAGCACAAAAUGAAAAAAAAGUACACUGUAAUAUUUAUAUAUGCAGUUAUUCGCCUUGCUAAAACAGAAGGGAGUUAUAUAUUGUCCAAUCGACUCGCCUGUCCAACCUCGUGGGUUUUCUCCCGGUCCUCCGGUUUCCUCCCACUUGUUUAAGGGUAUAUAUUUCUAAUUGCACAUGCUACCUAUGUUUUUAUUGUUGUUAACUGUGUCUGCGGACUGUAUUUUCAAGCAAGAACUUUACUAUGUAUUUAUAUGUAUUUUCACUUAGUUUGUUAUAAUAUUAAGCGGGCAGAAUUCGUAAGUAAACAUUUUUGAUGGGAACUUAUAUGUAUCUGGUAGAUAAAUUAUCUAGCUAUCCGUGCCUAUCCUUAGUUUUGUGGUGCCUACUUAGUGUCAAAAGUUCUGCAUAUUUUUUGGAUAGUACCCGUGUCUGGAUUUUAGAUUCCAUGCCAACUUUUCCAAUGGAGAUAAUAUUAGCUUCUUGUUUAUCAAGAAUUUAUUAAUUAGUAGGCAUGUUUAAUUUAAGACUUAUUUAGUAUAUUUUAUCCUUUCAAAUUAUUAUUUAUGCAUGUUGUAAGCCAUAUGUGUCAUGUUGGUUUAGUUGAGGCAUGGGUUCUUUUAUUUAUUUUGUGUCUGUUAGUUUAGGAUUUCACCCCACCUUUUAUUACUAGGUGGAUGAAUAAGUUGAGUCUCAUUGCCUCCAUGCAUUAGCCUUUUGUCUUCUAGACUGGAUAUUAUUAUCCUGGCUCAAGAAGUGUUUUAAGAAAGUGUAAUUAACGAAGUGUUUUAUUUAGCCUUUUGUCUUCUAGACUGGAUAUUAUCAUCCUGGCUCAAGAAGUGUUUUAAGAAAGUGUUUUCAACAACGUUUGUGUUUUACGUAUAUUUAGCCUUUUCGUCUUGAAAACUGGAUAUUAUUAUCCUGGCUCCAGGAAGUGUUUUGACAGCGUUUGAACACAGUGUUUUAUUUAUAUUUAGUCUUUGUAGUAGAAAGUGUUUUUAGAAGUGUUUUGUAAGUAAUUAUUAAUAUUACAUGGUUAGAGACGACCACAAAUCGUCCCGAAGCCACGUAAUUUCGGAUACCGGAAUUUAACCUUGCUAUCCCCAACCGAAAAUUAUAUGUAUCAUAUAUGUUUCUAAUUUUUAUUAAAACCAUUAUAUGUUCCUGUUGUUUCAGUGUCGAUUAAUUUAUUAGACUAACAGUGUGCGGGUAACACAUAGACAUCGUGAACCAUGAACUCUGUGAACUGUGAAUUCCGUGACUCGUGAACUCUAAUUAUUGAAUUAGAACUGUCAACAAAGAAAGCUGUCAACUUGUUUAUGUUUGUACUGUAACUCCUGUUUCUUGUAUAUGUUUAUUUAUAUAAAUAUUCAUUAAUA